CUGCAGGUGCCAUGGGGUUGACCGACUCGAGAUGGCUGCAGACGCCACCAGCUGUGCCAACUCGCCGCGUUUUAGCCGCCCGCCUCUCCGCUCGUUGUUGUGAGCGUCCCUCACGAGCCUCCUCCUCCACAGAGGCCGAUCUUGACACCGCCGGUAGCGCUCAUCGGCAAGUCCACUCAGCUCCACAUCCUCCAACCAGGUGUGGACAUCCCCCGGUGGUGUCACCUGUUCCGGGCACAAACCCAGGGGAAGCAUGGGUCAUCAAGGGACAGAGCACUCAAGACACACAGCAGGUCUCCAAGUCGUGUCUCAAGGUACCGUGAUCAUUUGGUCAAUUGGAUUUCCUGUUGCCGUGAAAAGUUUCUCCCCAGAAGCGAGCUCGGCAAUUAUGCAGCCCAGAGACCACAUGUCCACUGCGCAGGCAUCGGAGUACCUGCCCAAAGGACCCCUUCCCAAUCACAUUCAGUACUUGGAAGCGGUACACCAAGUGUUCAUCCGUGAUCUGGAACAAGAUUACACAAGUGUUCAGUACUCAACCAGGGCCCUCUCUGAGUGCUCAAACAUUACUCAGUCUAAACACACGGCUCAUUCAAGUUCUCAUUUAUCAGUCACUGGUUUGACAUUCACACACUCAUGCACAUGUCUGAGCUCUCUCUGAUGUCUCUGCCAAAUACAUCUUUGCCUCACGCUGGAAACCACUAAAUCAUUCUAUGCAAAGUGUGGGUUAUAGAAUGUCCUUUAUCUGUAUUUUUGAAGCUUUUUUCUCAGAGCUGGAUGACAAAGAUAGUCACUACAUCGCGCGCUUCGAGAUGCACUUCUGCUGCUGUCUGGAAUGCUCUUCCUUCCGAUAUUAGGAAGCCACUGGAGCGAUGCACUGUUAAAUCUAGAUUUAAAACCAAAAUCACAGAUGCCAAAUUUCAGGCCCUUUCUCCUUCAGCCUCGUUCACUUUUACAUAGCCAUGUUCAUUCAAUUCCCGGAUUCCACCCACACAGUUAGUGGCCUCACUCUGUAUGCCCUGCAUACUAUACUCAUAGGCUAUGCCAACCCCACCCACUACUCAGGUA